rnacentral:rRNA from 1 species
UACAGAGGUCCCAAGCGUUGUUCGGAUUUACUGGGCGUAAAGGGUGCGUAGGUGGCGGGGUAAGUCUGGUGUGAAAGCUCCGAGCUCAACUCGGAAAAGCAUUGGAAACUAUCCCGCUAGAGGGUCGGAGGGGAGACUGGAAUUCUCGGUGUAGCAGUGAAAUGCGUAGAUAUCGUAAGGAAGACCAGUGGCGAAGGCGAGUCUCUGGACAGUUACCGACGCUGAGGCGCGAAAGCGUGGGGAGCGAACAGG